ACUGAGUUGCUUAGCACCUCACUUUCACUGAGGCUGGCUUUGAUCUCCUGAUCCUCUUGCCUUAGCCUUCUGAACCUCUGGGAUUAUAGGUGUGCACCGCUGCACCUGGCCUUCCUGCUCUUUUGCCAUUCAAUCUCAGUGAGAUGAACAGGUUUGCUUCACCACAUGUUGUCUGCCAGGAUAUACUGUCUUGCCAAAGGCCCAGAAGCCACAGGCCAUAGAAUGAAACUUCUGAAAAUGUAGGCGGAGCUGUGCCCUCCGAGCGGAGUCUCUGCCCUCUACCUGCCAAUAGCAAACCCUGUAAGGCGUCUCCUGGUAGUCUCAGACUUGUCAGUCCAGAGCCAUUUCACCUCUCCGGCCCCUCCCCCCUUCCUCCUGUCAGCUGGCCAGCCAGGUCCUGUUCACCGGAAUCGGUUCCCCAAAGAUCUAGUUACACUUGCAGCCCCACUGCGAGUCCCAUUUAAGCCCCAGUGCUGUGGUAAACUGGCGGCUAAGACCUUGGGAGUUGCCGCUGGUGAUAUGGAGGGUUGGGGGUCGGGGAUCCCCUCUGCUUCUCCACAGACACGCCCCCAGAGAGAUCCCCAAAGUUUCCUGGCUGCCUGUAUCUGGAUGGGGCGGGAGUCACACACCUGCUAAAGUGGAUUCUGCUGGGAAGGAAUUCCGUGGGCUGGACUCCGAUGACGUUUCCUCUCUGCUAUGGCGGGCCCCAGGCUCCUUGCCGGAGUGUCCGAAGGGAGGGGUGGGACUGGUCCUUCCCCGGUUGGCCUCAGCUCCUGGCUCACUAUUUCAUGAAGGCUUGGCUAAAGACCUCUUCCUGCCAAGCUGCAUCUCGCGGAGGCUAGCGAGACCCAGUCACGUUGGCUGCGAGCGGGUGGGCGUGCAGCCGCUCCGGGAUGCGCCGACAACGGCUGGCGGAUCUGGACCUCUGUGGCUCUGGACCUCUGCGACUCGUGGAGGGGAUUUGCUCGUCUGGAGCAAACUGUCACUUCAAAAAAUCCUAGUAGCUCCCAGCUGGUCUCUCUUCAGUGGAAUUUUGCUAGGAGAUUCUCCGUUGGUAGAAUCUAAGCAUUAUCUAUGCGUCUUUAUGACCCCAUCCAUGAGGGGGUGUUGAAAUCGAUCAUCAUCAUCAUCAUCAUCAUCAACAACAACAAAAUUGUUCCGUGAGGAUGCAGUGCCAGGAGUGCCCAACUGACCAGCAGAGGGUGUGCUGAGUCUGUGUCCUUGGGCUGUAACCAUGCCCAGCAGAAUGAAUUCUCAUCCUAGCGCUAAUCAGAGAGACAAACAGCUUUUUGCUCUUUCCUCUAGUGAUCAACUCUUCUACUCCAACUUUUGAAUGAGCUCUGCAAAGGGGCUGGCAUCUUUUGUGUUCAGAGGCCUCAGCCAGAGGCUAGAAUUUGCUGGAAUUCAGCCUUUAUCCUUUGGAUUAAAAAAAGAACUGUCAAGAAAACCUUGCCUGUGGCCUGCAUCAUGUAGAUCAGAGAGAUGAGCUUAGUUGCUGAUGGGUCACGUGGCCAACUCAUCUCCUCAUCUCUGCCUACUGGGCAGGAGUUCUUUCUCUCAGCGGCACCCAGCUCAUCUUACCCUCCUCCCAAACACACAAGAAACAAAACAGCCUUCAAAGAACAAAGCAAGGAACACUUUCCAUUUUAAAAGGGUUAUUUCUGGGCAGUGGGGUUGUGGGUGAUAUUUCUCUUUUAGGCUUAUCUGAAUUGUUCAGAUUUUCUAUUAAUAUCAUGAAAUAUGUAUUUUUUUGUGCAAUGUAAAAGGUUAAAAAUAAAUCCAACUGCACAGAUAA